UCCAUGGGGCGAUCCCGAAUUCCGGCUGUUUGUCCCUGACUGUCCCGGGAUCCCAAAUUUCUGAUGGUUUUUCCCAAAUAUCCCACGAUCCCAAAUUCCAGCCGUUUGUCCCUGUCUGUGGGGCGACCCUGAAUCCCAACUCCCAAAUCCCAACUCCUGAAUCCCAAAUCCCAACAACUCCCAAAUCCCGACCCCCUACUCCUGGACACCCAAACUCCCAGAAUCCCUGAACCCCAGAAUCCCGAAAUCCCGAACUCCCGAACUCCCAGAAUCCCGAACUCCCAGAAUCCCGAACUCCCAGAAUCCCGAACUCCCAGACUCCUGAUCUCCCUGGACUCCCAAAACCCCCGGACUCCCCCCUGGAACACCCCCCGUGAAUCCUGGGAUAUGAUACGUGUGUGUUUUCCCGUUUCCCACUGUUUCCUGUUGUUUCCUGUUGCUUCCCGUUGUUUCCCGCCGUUGUUUCCCGCUGUUGUUUCCCGUUGCUGUUUCCCGCUGUUGUUUCCCGUUGUUGUUUCCCAUUGCCGUUGUUUCACACCGUUGUUUCCCGUUGUUUCCCAUUAUUUCCUGUUGCUGUUGUUUCCCGUUGCUGUUGUUUCCUGUUCCCAUUGCUCUUUCCUGUUGCCGUUUCCCGCUGUUGUUUCCCGCUGUUGUUUCCCGUUGUUGUUCCCUGCUGUCUCCCGUUCCCGUUGCCAUUUCCCAUUGUUGUUUCCUGCUGUUGUUUCCCGUUUCCCGCUGCUGUUUCCCAUUGUCAUUUCCCGUUUCCCACUGUUGUUGUUUUCCCGCUGUUGUUUCCCGUUGUCGUUUCCCGUUGUUUCCCGUUGUUUCCCAUUGUUUCCCGUUCUUUCCCAUUGUUUUCCGUUGUUUCCCAUUGUUUCCCAUUGUUUCCCGUUGUUCCCCAUUGUUCCCCAUUGUUUCGCAUUGUUUCCCAUUGUUUCCCGUUGUUUCCCAUUGUUUCCCAUUGUUUCCUGUUGUUUACCCAUUGUUCCCCAUUGUUCCCCAUUGUUUCCCAUUGUUUCCCAUUGUUUCCCAUUGUUUCCCAUUGUUUCCCAUUGUUUCCCAUUGUUUCCCAUUGUUUCCCGUUGUUUCCCAUUGUUUCCCGUUGUUUCCCAUUGUUUCCCAUUGUUUCCCAUUGUUUCCCGUUGUUUCCCAUUGUUUCCCGUUGUUUCCCAUUGUUUCCCGUUCUUUCCCGUUCUUUCCCGUUCUUUCCCCGCUGUUGUUGUUCUCACGCUGUUGUUUCCCGUUGUUUUCCCGCUGCUGUUUUCCCGCCGUUGUUUCCCGCCGUUGUUUUCCCAUCGUUGUUGUUUCCCCGCCCUUGUUGUUGUUUCCUGUCAUUGUUGUUGUUUCCCCGCCAUUGUUGUUGUUUUCCCGCCAUUGUUGUUUCCCCGCCAUUGUUGUUUCCCCGCCAUUGUUGUUUCCCCGCCAUUGUUGUUGUUUCCCCGCUGUUAUUGUUGUUUCCCCUCCAUUGUUGUUUUUCCCCUCCAUUGUUGUUUUCCCGCCAUUGUUGUUGUUUCCCGCCAUUGUUGUUGUUUCCCCCAUUGUUGUUGUUUCCCCAC
ensembl:lncRNA